rnacentral:sRNA from 1 species
GCCGGGCAUAGUAGUGCAUGCCUGUAAUCCCAGCAACUUGGGAGGCUGAGGCAGGAAGAACACAAGUUUUAGGUCAGUCUCAGCAACUUAGCAUGACUCUU